rnacentral:rRNA from 1 species
UACGUAGGGGGCUAGCGUUGUCCGGAUUCAUUGGGCGUAAAGCGCACGUAGGCGGUCUGUUAUGUCGGAUGUGAAAGCCCUUGGCUUAACUGAGGAAGUGCGCCCGAAACUGCAGAGCUUGAGUGCCGGAGAGGGUGGCGGAAUUCCCCAAGUAGAGGUGAAAUUCGUAGAUAUGGGGAGGAACACCGGUGGCGAAGGCGGCCACCUGGACGGUAACUGACGCUGAGACGCGAAAGCGUGGGGAGCAAACAGG